rnacentral:rRNA from 1 species
AUUGAACGCUGGCGGCAUGCCUUACACAUGCAAGUCGAACGGCAGCACGGGGCAACCUGGUGGCGAGUGGCGAACGGGUGAGUAAUGCAUCGGAACGUGCCAUUGAGUGGGGGAUAACGUAGCGAAAGUUGCGCCAAUACCGCAUAUUCUGUGAGCAGGAAAGCAGGGGGACCGCAAGGCCUCGCGCUCUUUGAGCGGCCGAUGUCAGAUUAGCUAGUUGGUGAGGUAACGGCUUACCAAGGCGACGAUCUGUAGCGGGUCUGAGAGGAUGAUCCGCCACACUGGAACUGAGACACGGUCCAGACUCCUACGGGAGGCAGCAGUGGGGAAUUUUUGGGACAAUGGGCGCAAGCCUGAUCCAGCCAUGCCGCGUGAGUGAAGAA